CUGGUUUUGAGCGUUGAAUCACAGAUCUGCUGCUUCAGCCACACAGACGUCUGAUCACGUCCUCCGUCACACUCACUGUGUUUCUGAUCAGUGUCUGCAGCAGAUGAUGUGGAUCUGCUGGUGUUUGUGUCUGCAGGUGAAACCCAGCAACCUCCAGAGUCUCAUGAAGCGCUGCGGGAUGAAGAUCCGGCCCAGAUUCCCAGAGUCCUCUUCCUGUGUCUGGAUCUGCUGCAGACAUGGAGCCGUUCCUGCGCUCGCUGCGGGGGGAUCUCAGGUCACCAUCUCCAUGUAUAAGUGAGGAGUGCAGGGGUGGCUGGGCAAACCACUGAUCGCAACCAUCCCCUCUAGCUCACACGUGAUCUUCCGCAUCCUAAGAGAAGUGACAGAUGGCAAGAUCCCAGGCCGGAAGCAUCAGCUCCAUCACGCUGAGCAUCUGAAACUCUCAAUGCUCCUCAGAGCUUCUGAGAAAUGCUCAGCUUCUGCAAACGACUGCAAACACAAACACAGAUGGCAGCAUGUUCUCAAACCCUGAUGCUUUAUUCACUGUCAUCAAUGAUUCAUUCCAUGAAGGAACGUGUCUGAUCGCAGAAGGAUGACUGAGAUAAAGUAAGUAUUUUUCAGAGUAGCAUCACUACUGACAUGACUUAUGCUAUAUAUCUUUUAAUGUUGGACAAUUAUGGAGUGCAGCUUUAAUAUUUAAGAAUUGCUGAGAAAUGUUUAUCUUUUCUAAUUAAACAUCAGCCUGCAUUUUGAACUGUCAAAUCAUGGUUGUUUUUAGCAGAUUUUAGGUUCUCAGAGUCUUAAGAGUGUUUUUAUCUUGAGAUAUAUUUUCUAAACGUUCAUAUUUUCAUACUAUUGACAUUCUAGUAAAUCUUUAUGUAAAUAAAAAAAAUUACUUCUUAAUCAAUUUUUAAACUUUAAAACCCUGACCAUGGAAAAGAUCCUAGUUUGUAUUGUCAUAUUGAUCAUAAUUUUUUUUUGCCCCAUUAGUGAGAAUAUUCAGAUGAUGAGGAUGUUUUGAUCUGUUAAAACCUUAUUGAUAUUUUUCUAAACUCUAUUUUGUCACUUAUUCAUGCUGUUUUAAUGGCUUUAAUGCAAUAAAAUACUUAUUUCUCAAA
rnacentral:lncRNA from 1 species